rnacentral:rRNA from 1 species
CCCUUAGAUGUUCUGGGCCGCACGCGCGCUACACUGGCGAAGUCAGCGAGCAUGUCCUACGCCGACAGGUGCGGGGAAUCUUGUCAAACUUCGUCGUGAUGGGGAUUGAUUAUUGAAAUUCUUGAUCAUCAACGAGGAAUUCCUAGUAAGCGCAAGUCAGCAGCUUGCGUUGAUUACGUCCCUGCCCUUUGUACACACCGCCCGUCGCUACUACCGAUUGAAUGGUUUAGUGAGAUCUUCGGAUUGGCGCCACUGCGGCUCAGCAAUGGGCUCGGUGGAUGCCGAAAAGUUGAUCAAACUUGAUCAUUUAGAGGAAGUAAAAGUCGUAACA